CUCUCGCUCUGUCUUGCCAUGCCAACAUUUGGAUUGUCCCGCCAGGCUUCAGCAGCACAGAGGAAUUGCACCCUCAUGCAUAAGAAUUUGGAAAUAUUUUCAUACUGAGAUUCCUUUCCCUCACUUUUUGGCAUCCUGAAGCUCCAGAGUAAACCCCUGGAUUCCUCACUUGAGGAACUGCAGAAGUACCAGCAUCUGAUGGGAUGUGACUGUGGCAUGGUGAGUGGAACUGGAGAAAGGGGGUCAGUUUCAAGAGAGACUAACUUUGGUGUGGCACCAGGGGCCAGGCAGCUGCUGCUCAAACAGAGGCAAGAGCAUGUGUCUGGCACCUUAGCAUGCUCAGUGAAGAUCUCUUCUCUACAACUCUGCCUGCUGCACCUUACUGCAAAUGAGACAGUGAUCGCAAUGGUGAGAGAUUCAGUGUAAGCCGACCGGCUUGAGGUGCCUUGUGAUAUGCACACGCAUAUUCUACAUAUUUGGGAUAUAUCCUUUGACAACCAGAAGAUCUAAUGGCUGAUAAACAAGUGACCUAUGCAAGUUCGGCGGCUUGUCCUGAACAAUUGAACGGUUUGGA